CGGACGGGUGAGUAACGCGUGAGAAUCUGCCUUCAGGAUGGGGAGUAACAGCCGGAAACGACUGCUAAAACCCAAAUGUGCCGAGAGGUGAAAUAUUAAUAGCCUGAAGAGGAGCUCGCGUCCGAUUAGCUAGUUGGUGGGGUAAAGGGCUUACCAAGGCAGCGAUCGGUAACUGGUCUGAGAGGAUGACCAGUCACACUGGGACUGAGACACGGCCCAG
rnacentral:rRNA from 1 species